UACGGAGGGGGUUAGCGUUGUUCGGAAUUACUGGGCGUAAAGCGCGCGUAGGCGGACUUUUAAGUUAGAGGUGAAAUCCCAGGGCUCAACCCUGGAACUGCCUUUAAUACUGGAAGUCUUGAGUUCGAGAGAGGUGAGUGGAAUUCCGAGUGUAGAGGUGAAAUUCGUAGAUAUUCGGAGGAACACCAGUGGCGAAGGCGGCUCACUGGCUCGAUACUGACGCUGAGGUGCGAAAGUGUGGGGAGCAAACAGGAUUAGAUACCCUGGUAGUCCACACCGUAAACGAUGAAUGCCAGACGUCGGGUAGCAUGCUAUUCGGUGUCACACCUAACGGAUUAAGCAUUCCGCCUGGGGAGUACGGUCGCAAGAUUAAA
rnacentral:rRNA from 1 species